ACUCAAAUGAAUUGACGGGGGCCCGCACAAGCGGCGGAGCAUGUGGAUUAAUUCGAUGCAACGCGAAGAACCUUACCUGGGUUUGACAUGCACCAGACAUCCCUAGAGAUAGGGCUUCCCUUGUGGUUGGUGUGCAGGUGGUGCAUGGCUGUCGUCAGCUCGUGUCGUGAGAUGUUGGGUUAAGUCCCGCAACGAGCGCAACCCUCGUUCCAUGUUGCCAGCGCGUAAUGGCGGGGACUCAUGGGAGACUGCCGGGGUCAACUCGGAGGAAGGUGGGGAUGACGUCAAGUCAUCAUGCCCCUUAUGUCCAGGGCUUCACACAUGCUACAAUGGCCGGUACAGAGGGUUGCGAGACCGUGAGGUGGAGCGAAUCCCUUAAAGCCGGUCUCAGUUCGGAUCGGGGUCUGCAACUCGACCCCGUGAAGUCGGAGUCGCUAGUAAUCGCAGAUCAGCAACGCUGCGGUGAAUACGUUCCCGGGCCUUGUACACACCGCCCGU
rnacentral:rRNA from 1 species